GACGAACGCUGGCGGCGUGCCUAAUACAUGCAAGUUGAGCGAUGAAGCUUGGUGCUUGCACCAAUUUGAAGAGCAGCGCACGGGUGAGUAACGCGUGGGGAAUCUGCCUUUGAGCGGGGGACAACAUUUGGAAACGAAUGCUAAUACCGCAUAACAACUUUAAACAUAAGUUUUAAGUUUGAAAGAUGCAAUUGCAUCACUCAAAGAUGAUCCCGCGUUGUAUUAGCUAGGUGGUGAGGUAAAGGCUCACCAAGGCGAUGAUACAUAGCCGACCUGAGAGGGUGAUCGGCCAGAUUGGGACGGAGACACGGCCCAAACUCAUACGGGAGGCAGCAGUAGGGAAUCUUCGGCAAUGGACGAAAGUCUGACCGAGCAACGCCGCGUGAGUGAAGAAGGUUUUCGGAUCGUAAAACUCUGUUGGUAGAGAAGAACGUUGGUGAGAGUGGAAAGCUCAUCAAGUGACGGUAACUACCCAGAAAGGGACGGCUAACUACGUG
rnacentral:rRNA from 1 species